GGCCUUGCGGGUACAAAUGAAACUGUUGAAUUUCUUAAUUCUGAGCUUCAAUUGGCGAAAGAUAAGCUUGCUAUUUCGGAAAAGAACGAGGAGGAGUCCCUGUUGAAGGUCAGGAGUCUACUUGAGGAGGUACGGUUUUUAAAGAAUGAACUGAAGUUGGUUACUGGGGCAGAAGAGAAUAACCAGAAGGCUCUUGAUGAUUUAGCAUUUGCACUGAAAGAAGUUGCAUUAGAAGCAAGCCAAGCUAAGGAAAAACUUACCUCAACGGAAGCAGAGCUUGAAGUGAAAAAAGCUGAGUCUGAAGAAUUGAAGCUGAAGCUCAAGAACAUUGAGGACAGCCACAAGUUGCAGUUGGAUGAG
rnacentral:lncRNA from 1 species